AUCACAGGUUUCCAUCUUUACUGACCAGACAUCACCAUUGCAAUCUCCAUUGCCACCCAGCAUCUGAGAAAACUUUGCCCUGAAAGUCCAGAUUGGGAUUCAGUAAAGAAGAAAAAUGAGAAAACAUGUUUUGCUGUGCAUAACCCACAACUCAGCGGUAAAAAAAGCAGAGGCAAGUGUCUAUCCCGUGGAAGUAAGUACAGAGGGAGAGGUGGAAGAGAAGUACAGCAAAGAAACCCUAUGCAGCACACAGAGCUCUGCACUGCAUUCCCUUUUGUACUACAGAACCUUGUUUCAAGAGAGAGUCUCAACAUGAAGAAUGACAAAUCAUCUCAAAUCAUACUUAGUCUUUAGAAAUUACUUACAACAAGUCAAUGCCCCCGACAAUAAAAGAAAGCAUUUAAUGUGGCAGACCAUGAUGUAAGGAAGCAAUAAAAGGGAAACGCAGCUUGAACUGUCAUACUGCCGAGUAACUCACAUCUCCCUGCUGAAGGCAGCAAAGUUGCAGUUACUGAAUGGCUAAUCUCUUCUACUGUUUUUUAAUCAGAUGUUGGCAUUAUCUGCCACUAAUUGCUUUUUCAUUUCCACUUGUAAUUAUUCCAUUGCAUGUUUGUGGUGAGAAGCUGAAAAUGAAGCAGAUCACCAAGAAAGAAUUAAUUGUUAAUGAAUAAUCAUCAGUAGGAAGCCAAUUUCAUUAUCUUCAAAGAGGUAGCUAGAGAUUAACUACUGACUGCGGUUCUCCUACGUUCAGUGCAUGACUGUAAAGUAAUCACAAAUAAUCACACCCUCCAACUUCAUCAAUUAGUUUCUAUUAUGUGAAUUGAUACCCAUUUUUGGUUUUGUUGUUUAAUGUUAAUGGUAGUAUUCAAACUGGGGAGUGCUAAUUGGAAGGUGUUGUAUUCAGCAGUCUUAGACCCUAAUUAUUAGAGCAUCUUUUUCAUUAGCAUAUGAUUCUAGAAGGGAUAUAUGGUGGUAGUUGCUAAAUUCACCUUGUUAUAAAUGCAUUAACUUUAUCAAUAUAUUUUAGACUGUCACUUAAAAUAGAAUGAUACAUACAAAGCUACUUUGUCAGUAAUGCACAGCAGUAGGUCAGUUUAUAAAACGUGUCAUCAUUAACUGUUUUUUGAGAAAUUCUCCUUAAAUCAAGACGUCAAAAGCAAAGGCUGCUUGGGAUUUAAGCAAUGGGUAUAAUAGAGUGAAAGUCUGAAAGAAAUCAACUAGAGUAAAAAACCUGUUAGAUACUAAGCAGAAGUUUAAAAAAAAACACAUUUGCCUUUUCGUUAUCGCAGAGAUUGAUGUCCAGUGAGAACCGUUGACUAUCAGCCUUCCAUUCUUCUUUGCUACUGAUUUCAAUUCAGUCCUCUGUGAUACCAACAGCAACUGUAAAGAAUAGCUCUCCUAAUGUUUUUAGAUGAAUUCUGUAUUACACUUGUAUAAUAUUAAUGGAAAAAGAAUAAAAUAAAUAACGCCACCUGUGGGAUAAAUUCAACCUCCCUGUACUGCUGCCCUCAAUGAAGCCUCCAAUCUUCUCCAUGUGUGGAUAUCUGAUAGCAGUGUAAAUACUGUCUGUAU